rnacentral:rRNA from 1 species
AACGUAGGACGCAAGCGUUAUCCGGAGUUACUGGGCGUAAAGCGCGGGCAGGCGGUUCUUUAAGUCUGAUGUGAAAUCUCCCGGCUCAACCGGGAGCAGCCAUUGGAAACUAGGGAACUGGAGGGCGAGAGAGGUAGGCGGAAUUCCGGGUGGAGUGGUGAAAUGCGUAGAGAUCCGGAGGAACACCAGAGGCGAAGGCGGCCUACUGGCUCGCACCUGACGCUGAGCCGCGAAGGCGUGGGGAGCGAACGGG